GGAUGACCAGCGGAGGGAUCAUUACCGAGUUUACAACUCCCAAACCCAAUGUGAACGUUACCAAACUGUUGCCUCGGCGGGGUCACGCCCCGGGUGCGUCGCAGCCCCGGAACCAGGCGCCCGCCGGAGGAACCAACCAAACUCUUUCUGUAGUCCCCUCGCGGACGUAUUUCUUUACAGCUCUGAGCAAAAAUUCAAAAUGAAUCAAAACUUUCAACAACGGAUCUCUUGGUUCUGGCAUCGAUGAAGAACGCAGCGAAAUGCGAUAAGUAAUGUGAAUUGCAGAAUUCAGUGAAUCAUCGAAUCUUUGAACGCACAUUGCGCCCGCCAGUAUUCUGGCGGGCAUGCCUGUCCGAGCGUCAUUUCAACCCUCGAACCCCUCCGGGGGAUCGGCGUUGGGGAUCGGGACCCCUCACACGGGUGCCGGCCCCUAAAUACAGUGGCGGUCUCGCCGCAGCCUCUCCUGCGCAGUAGUUUGCACAACUCGCACCGGGAGCGCGGCGCGUCCACGUCCGUAAAACACCCAACUUUCUGAAAUGUUGACCUCGGAUCAGGUAGGAAUACCCGCUGAACUUAAGCAUAUCAA
rnacentral:rRNA from 1 species